AGCGAACGCUGGCGGCAGGCUUAACACAUGCAAGUCGAGCGGGUACUUUCGGGUGUCAGCGGCGGACGGGUGAGUAACGCGUGGGAACGUGCCCUCUGGUUCGGAAUAACUCAGGGAAACUUGAGCUAAUACCGGAUACGCCCUUUUGGGGAAAGGCUUGCUGCCGGAGGAUCGGCCCGCGUCUGAUUAGCUAGUUGGUGAGGUAACGGCUCACCAAGGCGACGAUCAGUAGCUGGUCUGAGAGGAUGAUCAGCCACACUGGGACUGAGACACGGCCCAGACUCCUACGGGAGGCAGCAGUGGGGAAUAUUGGACAAUGGGCGCAAGCCUGAUCCAGCCAUGCCGCGUGAGUGAUGAAGGCCUUAGGGUUGUAAAGCUCUUUUAUCCGGGACGAUAAUGACGGUACCGGAGGAAUAAGCCCCGGCUAACUUCGUG
rnacentral:rRNA from 1 species